rnacentral:rRNA from 1 species
UACGGGGGGGGCAAGCGUUGUUCGGAAUUACUGGGCGUAAAGGGCCAGUAGGCGGCCAACUAAGUCCGACGUGAAAUCCCAAGGCUUAACCUUGGAACUGCGUCGGAUACUGGAUGGCUUGAAUUCGGGAGAGGGAUGCAGAAUUCCAGGUGUAGCGGUGAAAUGCGUAGAUAUCUGGAGGAACACCGGUGGCGAAGGCGGCAUCCUGGACCGGCAUUGACGCUGAGGCGCGAAAGCCAGGGGAGCAAACGGG